rnacentral:rRNA from 1 species
UACGUAGGCAGCGAGCGUUGUUCGGAGUUACUGGGCGUAAAGCGUGCGUAGGUGGUUCGUUAAGUCUGAUGUGAAAGCCCUGGGCUCAACCUGGGAAUGGCAUUGGAUACUGGCGACCUAGAGUGCGGUAGAGGGGUGUGGAAUUCCCGGUGUAGCAGUGAAAUGCGUAGAUAUCGGGAGGAACAUCUGUGGCGAAGGCGACACCCUGGACCAGCACUGACACUGAGGCACGAAAGCGUGGGGAGCAAACAGG